rnacentral:rRNA from 1 species
UACGUAGGGACCGAGCGUUGUCCGGAAUCAUUGGGCGUAAAGAGCGUGUAGGCGGCCAACUAAGUCCUGCGUGAAAUCUCGGGGCUCAACCCCGAGCGGUCGUGGGAAACUGGUUGGCUAGAGUGCGGGAGAGGAGAGUGGAAUUCCUGGUGUAGCGGUGAAAUGCGCAGAUAUCAGGAAGAACACCCGUGGCUAAGGCGGCUCUCUAGUACGGUACUGACGCUGAGACGCGAAAGCGUGGGGAGCGAACAGG